GCGGCGAUUCCUCUUGGGACUCUUAGGACUUCCGUGACCAGCAAGAGCUCUGAAGUGAGAAACGAAGGGAUAAAGAGAUUAAACCAGAAGAAAAUGAUGUGGUGACCAUUUCUGAGCCCAGCUAUUCCAUAUGGAAUGCAGUGUCCCAUGCCCUCCAUAAAACGCUGUUGAACAAAAUUGAAAUGGGAUCUAAAGCAUACAGAAACAUGGACCGGCUUCUUCCAUGCCAGGAUGCAUUGACCUAUGAUGAUGUGCAUGUGAACUUCACUCGGGAAGAGUGGGCUUUGCUGGAUCCUUCCCAGAAGA